GGAAAGCCAGAUGCUAUACUCCCUUUCUCCCUGAAGGUUUCUGAACCAAGCCAGGCCUAACCUCUGGCUAUAAACAAGAGAACUACAGCUUGAACAGUUGUAUCCCUCCAAAAUUCAUGAUGAAACUUAAUCUCCACUGGAACACACUAAGAGGCAAGGCCUUGGGGAGUUGACUGGUUCCUGAAGGAUCCUCCAUCUUGAAUGGGGUGAGGUCCUCAGAAUGAAGAUCAUGGGAACACUCAACUUCUGCUCUGGCAUCUUUCACCAACUGAAGGAACAAUGUUCAACAAACCACUUUGUUUUGAUGCCCAUUUCCAGCCGGCUAUGUCAG
rnacentral:lncRNA from 1 species